rnacentral:lncRNA from 1 species
CAAAAGCCGACCCUGGUCUGGAGAGGUGGGGGUAAAGCAAGGCUACAGCGAAAGGAGCCGAGGUUAGACUGCGGGCUGAGGGCGAGGGCCUGGGCCGAGGGGGCGGUGCUGGGUGGCGCACAGGAUCGCCCCGCGCCCGGGGACAGAUGCCUCUUGAGGGGACAGGCCACGGGAGCCCGAGCCAGGCGCACACAGAUCUCCCCAGACCCGCCUGCCCCGCCGCCCCAACGACUCUCAGUCCUCCAGCCAGCCCGUCGCUGCCUCGCCUUCUGCGGCAUUCCGGACCUCAUCGACCGCAGGCCAUGGGCGAAUACCAGUCGACAUCGCUGGGACAGGUGGGCUGUCUGGAGCUGAUCGCCACAAGGGCUGGAGGCUGUCACCUACUGCUCCCUCUGCCUGCCCCACCAGCUAGCUGGCCGUGACGUCCAGGACCUCACCCACUAUUACUGCCAAGAAGAUGAGCUCCAGAUCUGGGCAGCUACACACAGGUGAAGCUCCCCUGGGGCCUGAGGGCUCCAAGCCUCACCCUGGGCUACAUCUCUGUUGGCUCAUCCAACCAUUUCCUCCCACCUUCUACCCAAACACACUGCUAUCUCCUAGUCCUUUCCUGCCUCCUCUUCUUCCUUCUCAGCUGUGUGACCUUGGGCAAGUCACUUAACCUCUCUGUGUCUGUUUCUUCAUAUGAAAACAGGGAUAAUAAGAGCACCUACCUCAUGGGUUAUUAAGAUGAAACGUAAAGCCCUAAGAACAAACCUCAGGCGAAUAGGAAAUGCUCUCUGAGCAUUAGCUAUUAUUAGUAUUCACCCCACAGAUAGUCUCCAUGUCUCUAUUUUUCCUUCUGACUCUCCCUCACAGGAGACCUCCAUGGGAUGCACCUCUAGGCUCCGUCCCAGCGGCCAGAGGUUCUUGAUGUCCGGCCUCCUCGUGGGUCCCCAUCUCCCACCACUAACCUGCAUAACGACCUCCCUCCAGGCACUGGGAUUUAUGACAGUGCUGCUCAUGAGCCUCACAUGGCUCUGUUUUUUGCCACAUGCAAUGCAGUGUUGACUGCGGCAUCUCAGCCCCUCUGGAAUCUGCCCCCCACCUUCCAUUCUUCCUUCUCAGCACACACUGAGCUCAGGGAGGCCAGGCACCCUGAUUCCCCCUCUCUCCCUAUCCAAACACUGCCCCCUCUUCAAGCCCAGCUCGUGCCCCCCUCCCCUUGAAGUCCUCAGGGACUCCUCCCCCAUGAACACCCAUAGCUAGAGCUGCCCGCGUCAAAACCCUUCUUAGCAAUGGACCUGCACACCCUUCAUGAGCCCUGCUAUGGCUGUGGGUGGAUGCACAGUGAGCAAGGCAGACCCAGACCCUUUGGGAACCAGUGGAGGAGACAGAGCCAAUCCGCCAGUCCCCAUACAGAGGGGCCUGGUGUCUAAUCCUUCC